rnacentral:rRNA from 1 species
AGGGGAUUGCCCUUAGUAACGGUCGAGUGAAAGCGGCAACAGCUCAAAUUUGAAAUCUGGCUCCCUUGGGGUCCGAGUUGUAAUUUGCAGGAGGGUGCUUUGGCGUCGGCCGUGGUCUAAGUUCCUUGGAACAGGACGUCACAGAGGGUGAGAAUCCCGUACGUGGCCGCCGGCCUUCGCCGUGUAAAGCCCCUUCGACGAGUCGAGUUGUUUGGGAAUGCAGCUCUAAAUGGGAGAUAAAUUUCUUCUAAAGCUAAAUACUGGCCAGAGACCGAUAGCGCACAAGUAGAGUGAUCGAAAGAUGAAAAGCACUUUGGAAAGAGAGUCAAAAAGCACGUGAAAUUGUUGAAAGGGAAGCGCUUGCAGCCAGACGUGCCCGCAGUUGCUCACCCGGGCUCUCGCCCGGGGCACUCUUCUGCGGGCAGGCCAGCAUCAGUUCGGGCGGUUGGAUAAAGGCCUCUGUCAUGUACCACCCCUCGGGGUGGCCUUAUAGGGGAGGCGGAACACGGCCAGCCCGAACUGAGGACCGCGCAUUUGCUAGGAUGCUGGCGUAAUGGCUGUAAGCGGCCCGUCUUGAAACACGGACCAAGGAGUCUAACAUCUAUGCGAGUGUUUGGGUGUCAAGCCCGGGCGCGCAAUGAAAGUGAACGGAGGUGGGAACCCCUCGGGGCGCACCAUCGACCGAUCCUGAAGUCUUCGGAUGGAUUUGAGUAAGAGCAUAGCUGUUGGGACCCGAAAGAUGGUGAACUAUGCCUGAAUAGGGUGAAGCCAGGGGAAACCCUGGU